rnacentral:rRNA from 1 species
GUGUCAGCCGCCGCGGUAAUACGUAGGGUGCGAGCGUUAAUCGGAAUUACUGGGCGUAAAGCGUGCGCAGGCGGUUUCACAAGCUAGAUGUGAAAGCCCCGGGCUUAACCUGGGAACUGCAUUUAGGACUGUGGAGCUAGAGUGCGGCAGAGGGAGGUGGAAUUCCACGUGUAGCAGUGAAAUGCGUAGAGAUGUGGAGGAACACCGAUGGCGAAGGCAGCCUCCUGGGCCGACACUGACGCUCAUGCACGAAAGCGUGGGGAGCAAACAGGAUUAGAUACCCGCGUAGUCC